rnacentral:rRNA from 1 species
GACGAACGCUGGCGGCGUGCUUAACACAUGCAAGUCGAACGGAAAGGCCCUGCUUUUGUGGGGUGCUCGAGUGGCGAACGGGUGAGUAACACGUGAGUAACCUGCCCUUGACUUUGGGAUAACUUCAGGAAACUGGGGCUAAUACCGGAUAGGAGCUCCUGCUGCAUGGUGGGGGUUGGAAAGUUUCGGCGGUUGGGGAUGGACUCGCGGCUUAUCAGCUUGUUGGUGGGGUAGUGGCUUACCAAGGCUUUGACGGGUAGCCGGCCUGAGAGGGUGACCGGCCACAUUGGGACUGAGAUACGGCCCAGACUCCUACGGGAGGCAGCAGUGGGGAAUAUUGCACAAUGGGCGGAAGCCUGAUGCAGCAACGCCGCGUGCGGGAUGACGGCCUUCGGGUUGUAAACCGCUUUCGCCUGUGACGAAGCGUGAGUGACGGUAAUGGGUAAAGAAGCACCGGCUAACUACGUGCCAGCAGCCGCGGUGAUACGUAGGGUGCGAGCGUUGUCCGGAUUUAUUGGGCGUAAAGGGCUCGUAGGUGGUUGAUCGCGUCGGAAGUGUAAUCUUGGGGCUUAACCCUGAGCGUGCUUUCGAUACGGGUUGACUUGAGGAAGGUAGGGGAGAAUGGAAUUCCUGGUGGAGCGGUGGAAUGCGCAGAUAUCAGGAGGAACACCAGUGGCGAAGGCGGUUCUCUGGGCCUUUCCUGACGCUGAGGGGCGAAAGCGUGGGGAGCGAACAGGCUUAGAUACCCUGGUAGUCCACGCUGUAAACGGUGGGUACUAGGUGUGGGGUCCAUUCCACGGGUUCCGUGCCGUAGCUAACGCUUUAAGUACCCCGCCUGGGGAGUACGGCCGCAAGGCUAAAACUCAAAGGAAUUGACGGGGCCCCGCACAAGCGGCGGAGCAUGCGGAUUAAUUCGAUGCAACGCGUAGAACCUUACCUGGGUUUGACAUGGAUCGGGAGCGCUCAGAGAUGGGUGUGCCUCUUUUGGGGUCGGUUCACAGGUGGUGCAUGGCUGUCGUCAGCUCGUGUCGUGAGAUGUUAGGUUAAGUCCCGCAACGAGCGCAACCCUUGUUCACUGUUGCCAGCACGUUAUGGUGGGGACUCAGUGGAGACCGCCGGGGUCAACUCGGAGGAAGGUGGGGAUGACGUCAAGUCAUCAUGCCCCUUAUGUCCAGGGCUUCACGCAUGCUACAAUGGCUGGUACAGAGAGUGGCGAGCCUGUGAGGGUGAGCGAAUCUCGGAAAGCCGGUCUCAGUUCGGAUUGGGGUCUGCAACUCGACCUCAUGAAGUCGGAGUCGCUAGUAAUCGCAGAUCAGCAACGCUGCGGUGAAUACGUUCCCGGG